CAACACAUAGUUCUAGACAUGACAGAAGGAUUACUCUCUGGCUUCUGGCUUCGGGCUCCUGACUCCUGACUCCUGAAGAAGAGGGAAUCUGAAAGUUAAGGUUUUACCAACCCACCAAUCCCAGCUGACCUGAGCUCGCUAAUUCAGCCGACUUGUCUUCUAUGUGAUUAAGAUUUGGUGGUUCUCUUGUGAUUUUUCUUCCACAGUUGAAGCAGUUUGUCACUUUUAUUGAGAUUCAGUUUAAGAUCUAAUUGACGGGCGAUCGAGUAAAGUUUUAGGAACAUAUAUUAGGUGAGAAUCCUUCUCUGGAUUGGUUCAACAUUUCAUUUCUUUAUAUGAAAGCAUCUCAGCAGCACCGAGGUGUGGCGUUGUAUCAUCAGCCUGUGCAGCAGAUUGAUCGCUGUGGUUUCCAAAUUUUGGAAAAAAGCAUGUAUCCGGAUACUGGUAGCCCAGGAAACAAUCUUUCCUUUCAAAACUACAAGGAUGACAAGGAGCAGUUCUUUACCCUGGAUUCAUCUCCAGCCACUGCCUUUCUAACCUGCGAUUCCCCAUCUGCUAUUAGUGGCUUGUCUAACAGGAGUCCAUUUUCUCCGCAAGGUUCUCACUCGUGCUUUUCUGAUCAGCACCAUUCCUCUGGCAACAACUAUGGAUCACCAAUAAGUGGGUGCUCCAUAAUUGUGGAUGAUGACUUCAAGUCCAAGCUCAGGGAAAUGGAAGUUUCAUUGCUAGGACCUGAUUCGGAUAUUGUUGACAGCCACUUUUGUUCUCACAGGAGUGGUAUGGCAAGGUGGAGCCAUAGUCAAAUAGCCGAAACGAUACCUAAGUUAAACCUAAAAAAUGUUCUCAUUGACUGUGCACGUGCGAUAUCCGAAAACGAAUUUGACAAUGCAAUAAGCUUGAUGGAAGUUUUGGGGCAAAUGGUGUCAGUCUCUGGGGAGCCAAUGCAGAGAUUGGGGGCUUACAUGUUGGAAGGUCUCAGAGCAAGGUUGGAAGGAUCAGGGAGUUCAAUCUACAAAACCCUAAAAUGUGAAGUUCCAACGAGCUCGGAACUUAUGUCAUACAUGUCUGUCCUCUAUCGGAUCUGCCCAUAUUGGAGGUUUGCUUACCUGUCUGCAAACGUUGUCAUUCGGGAAGCGUUGGAGAAUGAGCCAAGAAUCCACAUAAUUGAUUUUCAGAUUGCACAGGGCAGCCAGUGGAUUCCCCUCAUCCAAGAUCUAGCUUGUCAGCCAGGUGGCCCCCCACGUAUCCGAAUCACAGGCGUUGAUGAUACCCAAUCAGAGCAUGCUCGUGGUGGGGGACUUCAUAUCGUGAGUAAGAGGCUUUCAGAGCUUGCUGCAUCAUGCAAUGUGCCAUUUGAGUUUAAUGCUGCUGCAAUGUGUGGUUCUGAGGUUGAACUUCAUAAUCUCAGGAUUCAACCUGGUGAAGCCAUAGCCGUUAAUUUUCCAUACGUGUUGCACCACAUGCCAGAUGAGAGUGUGAGCACUGAAAAUCACAGAGAUCGUUUGUUAAGGCUGGUUAAGAGUUUAUCGCCCAAAGUUGUGACACUUGUGGAACAAGAAUCCAACACCAACACUUCCCCAUUCUACUCAAGGUUUGUUGAAAUGGUAGAUUAUUAUACAGCAAUGUUUGAAUCAAUUGAUGUGGCUCGCCCAAGAGAUGACAAAGAGCGGAUCAGCGCAGAGAUGCACUGUGUGGCUAGAGACAUCGUGAACAUGGUUGCUUGUGAAGGAGCCGAGAGGGUGGAACGCCAUGAACUUUUCGGGAAGUGGAGGUCAAGGCUAAUGAUGGAUGGAUUUACUCCAUACCCGCUGAGUCCUAAAGUGACGGAGGCUAUCAGGGUUCUGUUGAAGGAAUAUCACGGGAAUUUUAGAAUUCAAGAGGCAAAUGGGGCUCUCUACCUUACUUGGAUGCAAAGAGCUAUGGCAACGUCUUCUGCAUGGAGGUGAACCAGAGGGUGACUGCAAAACCUGUAAAAUUUCUAAUUUCGUGUUGUUUUAUGACGCUUAGAGCAUGGAAGGUUGAUUGUGUAAAUUUUGGUAGGAAGAGUUCCUAGCUGUAGUUCCAAACCCGAAUCUCGAAAUUUGGUGAUGUAAAAAUGUCGGCCUUGCAAAGAAAGAGAAUAGCUCUCACUUUUACUGCUGUUUUA